rnacentral:lncRNA from 1 species
AGCCACGCCUUGGAGAUGCACUAAAAAGUUUACACUCCUAGAUUACAGAGCUAAGGAAAACGGGGGCGCACCGACCUCCGCCUGCUCAUUGAACACCGUCGUUAUCGGCGCUAUUGAAAGUUAGUGGCAAGCCGGUGACAAGAACAAGCAGCGAAGGUCCCAAUGAAAAGAAAGAAUAGUGCUUGCGAGCGCUCCUCUUCUAAGCCGGAGAACUACACCAUUCUGUUUCGUUACUCAAAACACCUUUUGUUUCGUGAACCCUCUGAGCUCAAUCACAUCCCUCUGUUAACCCACCUGUAAAUCACCUGGGAUCCUAUCACAACAUGCAGUCC